GCAGGUCUUCAUUCUUGAUGGGAUUCAGAAACUGUGAACUGUCUUCACAGACAAAUAAUACAAAGUCAGCCUAAGAGUGUGGAGUAAACAGCAUCAAGCCUUUCUUUAAUAAGGAACUCAUCUACAAAAAACAAACAAAUACUUGUUAUACUUUUAUGAAUUGUCAAGUUGUACAACACACAGCAAUUAAGAUUAAGACAAACAAAAAAAUCACUGAUUUUAUUAAUUCCAUUGUUGUGUCUAAUAUAUAGAAACAACUUGUGUUGUAACAGGAAAGAUGACAGCCAGAUGACGUCAAAGUAUCGCGAGAGCGAGACGAAAUUUGAUUUCUUGAAUCCUUCUCGCGGUACUCUGACGUCAUCCGGCUGUCAGUCUUGCGGCGCCGCAUGAAGUCAAAGAAGCCUCCUGACUGCGUGCGAGAACAUUUUGAAUUAUCUGGCACGAGGCAUCACACGUCAAACUUCAACUGACACAACGGUCUCGGUGAAGGGAAUAAGCAAAAGCUCCUUUAAAUUUCGUAAUUUUUUAUACACAUCCCGUUUAUUUUGUAGUUAAUUGUUAGAUAAGUAAGUAAUUUCGUCAAGUUUUCGUUACAGAGUAAGAUUUCGUUAUCAUCGUUACCAUAUACAGUAUUUAUAUUGGUUCAAGAGCGCAGUUUGAUAACUCAUUCAAGCCUUUAAACAUCUAAACAUGUCCUCCAAAAAGGUAAGUUCAGCAGAUCAGCUUAUCUUAUUCUGUAAUAUUGAUACUGGUUUGAGAAAAACUAAGAUUAAACAACGUACAUGUUUCCAGGAAAAAGGGAAAAACACUGGAAAACAAUUUCAGCCUAAGGUUUGAGAUGGCUAACUGUGUACAUUGCCUUUGUGUACUGCAAGCUGAACUUACAGAUUUAUAUGGACUUUACUUACAGGUUUCCUGUGCUGUUUUGCUCCAUUUUACAGAACAAAAUAAGGCUGAGGUAGCACCAUCCUUGUGGUUAGAGUGAAAGAAUGUGGGUAUUGAGACCAAAAUAAAUAAUGUGCCAUUCUGGACAAACAGCUGUUACGUUCCUCUAAUGUUU